rnacentral:rRNA from 1 species
GAUGAACGCUGGCGGCGUGUCUAAUACAUGCAAGUAGAACGCUGAAGGAAGUAGCUUGCUCUUUACGGAUGAGUUGCGAACGGGUUAGUAACGCGUAGUUAACCUGCCUGGUAGCGGGGGAUAACUAUUUGAAACGAUAGCUACUACCGCAUAACAGUAGAUUUUUCAUGUUAUCUACUUAAAAGGUUCAAUUUCACCACUACCAGAUGUACCUACGUUGUAUUAGCUAGUUGGUGAGGUAACGGCUUCCCAAGGCGACGAUACAUAGCCGACCUGAGAGGGUGAUCGGCUACUUUGGGACUGAGACACAGCCGAGACACCUAGAGGAGGAAGCAGUAGGGAAUCUUAGGCAAUGGAGGAAAGGCGGGCCGAGCAACGCCGCGGGAGUGAAGAAGGUUCUAGGAUCGGAAAGCUAUGUUGUAAGAGAAGAACGAGAGUGAGAGUGGAAAGUUCACACUGUGACGGUAUCUUAACAGAAAGGGACGGCUAACUCCGUG